rnacentral:lncRNA from 1 species
AUGACAUGAGCUUUUUAGCUCACCUGGCCCGAAGGGCCAAGUGAGCUUUUCCCAUCACUUGGCGUCCGUCGUCGUCGUCGUCGUCCGUCGUCGUCCGUCGUCGUUAACUUUUACAAAAAUCUUCUCCUCUGAAACUACUGGGCCAAAUUAAACCAAACUUGGCCACAAUCAUCAUUGGGGUAUCUAGUUUAAAAAAUGUGUGGCGUGACCCGGCCAACCGACCAAGAUGGCCGCCAUGGCUAAAAAUAGAACAUAGGGGUAAAAUGCAGUUUUUGGCUUAUUACUCAAAAACCAAAGCAUUUAGAGCAAAUCUGACAUGGGGGUAAAAUUGUUUAUCAGGUCAAGAUCUAUCUGCCCUCAAAUUUUCAGAUGAAUCCGACAACCCGUUAUUGGGUUGCUGCCCCUGAACUGGUAAUUUUAGGGAAUUUUUGCUGUUUUUGGCUAUUAUCUUGAAUAUUAUUAUAGAUAGAGAUAAACUGUAAACAGCAAUAAUGUUCAGCA